CCUACGGGAGGCUGCAGUGGGGAAUAUUGGGCAAUGGGCGCAAGCCUGACCCAGCAAAGCCGCGUGAAGGAAGAAGGCUUUCGGGUUGUAAACUUCUUUUAAGGGGGACGAACAAAUGACGGUACCCCUUGAAUAAGCCACGGCUAAAUAAGUGCAAGCAGCCGCGGUAAUACGUAGGUGGCAAGCGUUAUCCGGAUUUAUUGGGGGUAAAGGGCGUGUUGGCGGGAGCGCAAGUCUGAUGUGAAAACUCAGGGCUCAACCCUGAGCCUGCAUUUGAAACUGUGUUUCUUGAGUGCUGGAGAGGCAAUCGGAAUUCGGUGUGUAGCGGUGAAAUGCGUAGAUAUACGGAGGAACACCAGUGGCGAAGGCGGAUUGCUGGACAGUAACUGACGCUGAGGCGCGAAAGCGUGGGGAGCAAACAGGAUUAGAUACCCCAGUAGUC
rnacentral:rRNA from 1 species